ensembl:lncRNA
GUUCUGGGUCUGACAUGGCUGUGUGGAGUGCUGGUCCAUCUGUCUGUAGUAGUUGCCUAUGUCUUUAUUGCUCUCAACUCUUUUCAGGGCCUGUAUAUCUUCCUGGUGUAUGCUGUUUACAACAGUGAGGUGAGGAAUGCCAUAAAGAGGAUCAAAGAGAAGAGAAAGGCCUUAUCUUUCACGAACUGCUCCCAGCCAACCAGCUUCCUACCUUCCCAGAGGGCUCCUAUGACCUCCUGGGGCCGAAGUCCACCAACCCCCUCCAGCCCUGAAACCAGUGAGACGUCUGGACCCUCAAGCUCCGCCUCCACGUCGCUGGUCAUCAAGAACGAGAGUUUCAGAAAGGAGAGCUUUGUCAGUUUCUCUCUGAAACCAACAUCAGGAAACCAAGUGGUGCAGCUGACAGGGUUCAAGCCUUCAGGUUGUUGAACUGCAAAUGGAAGGGAUUCUCUACUCGAUUACCCCCCCAACACACACACACGCCGUCUCCACGUCUCCUACACUGACCUGCUCUCAGAUCCCUCUGCCACUCACUUAUUUCAUAUCCUGCAUUUAUUAUUUUUAUUGCAAUGAAGAAGUUCAAAGUCCCAGACGGAAAGAUGUAUUUGUGAGAUUGAUACUAGCCUCCUGCUAAUCUUGGAAAUGUGAGAAUAGACUUGUAGAGAUAUUUCUUCUGGGUAUGUUUUUACAUUUUAGCUCUCUUGCAAACAGAGAAAGUUCACACCAACAGAAGAUACACAGCCAAGCUCACAACCUGAUCAGACGUUUGAUGUGACUGUAUUUCAAAACAAUGCUGCCCCCAAUUAAAAUAAUCACAAUACACCAAAAUGUUAUAUGUUUGUCCUCUGCUCCAUUUAUUUUAGCAUGCAGCACAGUAAUCUUUUAAUUUUACUCAAUCAUGUGACUUGUAUGACACAUUUGUGACAGCGCUUACUGUUUUUGAUUUAUUUGGAUGCUAUAUUCAAUGUAAAUAUCACACUUAAGUAAAAAAAACAACAACUUAAGACAUGAUCUGUAUUAUAAAAAGGUGGCCAUUUUGACAUCCCCUACAAAGCGCUCCCUCCACGCUGGAUGUCUGUGUGGGUACUCUGCAGUUAUAUGCACUGGCCUUGGUUGUGGAUUGAGGUUCCUUUUGUUGUACAUCAGCAAUGUCCUUAUAGAAUAUGAAGAGAGCUGGUCCGCAGCCCCCGCCUACCUACUACACACCAUCACCCUACACUUCUCCCCACACACUUUUGAGUCUGCUUGGUGUUUAGAUACGCUGACCUGCAGGAAUUAUGUCGCAG